UACAGAGGUCUCAAGCGUUGUUCGGAUUCAUUGGGCGUAAAGGGUGCGUAGGCGGCGCCGUAAGUCGGGUGUGAAAUUUCGGAGCUUAACUCCGAAACUGCAUUCGAUACUGCGGUGCUUGAGGACUGGAGAGGAGACUGGAAUUCAUGGUGUAGCAGUGAAAUGCGUAGAGAUCAUGAGGAAGACCAGUGGCGAAGGCGGGUCUCUGGACAGUUCCUGACGCUGAGGCACGAAGGCCAGGGGAGCAAACGGG
rnacentral:rRNA from 1 species